rnacentral:rRNA from 1 species
AGGGUUCGAUCAUGGCUCAGAGUGAACGCUAGCGGUAGGCCUAACACAUGCAAGUCGAACGGCAGCACAGAGGAGCUUGCUCCUUGGGUGGCGAGUGGCGGACGGGUGAGGAAUACAUCGGAAUCUACUCUGUCGUGGGGGAUAACGUAGGGAAACUUACGCUAAUACCGCAUACGACCUACGGGUGAAAGCAGGGGAUCUUCGGACNNNGCGCGAUUGAAUGAGCCGAUGUCGGAUUAGCUAGUUGGCGGGGUAAAGGCCCACCAAGGCGACGAUCCGUAGCUGGUCUGAGAGGAUGAUCAGCCACACUGGAACUGAGACACGGUCCAGACUCCUACGGGAGGCAGCAGUAGGGAAUCUUCCACAAUGGACGAAAGUCUGAUGGAGCAACGCCGNGUGAGUGAAGAAGGAUUUCGGUCCGUAAAACUC